rnacentral:rRNA from 1 species
UACGAAGGGGGCUAGCGUUGCUCGGAAUUACUGGGCGUAAAGGGCGCGUAGGCGGACAGUUUAGUCAGAGGUGAAAGCCCAGGGCUCAACCUUGGAACUGCCUUUGAUACUGACUGUCUUGAGUUCGGGAGAGGUGAGUGGAAUGCCGAGUGUAGAGGUGAAAUUCGUAGAUAUUCGCAAGAACACCAGUGGCGAAGGCGGCCCACUGGAUCGGUACUGACGCUGAGGUGCGAAAGCGUGGGGGAGCAAACAGG